rnacentral:rRNA from 1 species
AUUGAACGCUGGCGGUAUGCUUAACACAUGCAAGUCGAACGAUGAGAAAGAGCUUGCUCUUUCGAUUAGUGGCGGACGGGUGCGUAACGCGUAGGAAUCUACCUAUUAGUGGGGGACAACUUAGGGAAACUUAAGCUAAUACCGCAUACGCCCUACGGGGGAAAGAAGGGGAUCGCAAGACCUUUUGCUAAUAGAUGAGCCUGCGUAGGAUUAGCUAGUUGGUGGGGUAAAAGCUCACCAAGGCGACGAUCCCUAACUGGUUUGAGAGAAUAAGAAGUCACACUGGAACUGGGACACGGGACAGACUCCGGCGGGAGGCAGAAGUGGGGAAUAGUGGACAAUGGGCGAAAGCCUGAUCCAGCAAUACCGCGUGUGUGAAGAAGGCCUUAGGGUUGUAAAGCACUUUCAAUUGGAAGGAAAACCUCGAAGCUAAUACCUUCGAGUUUGACAUUACCUUUAGAAGAAGCACCGGCUAACUCCGUGCCAGCAGCCGCGGUAA